CCUACGGGUGACAGCAGUCGAGAAUCAUUCACAAUGGGGGAAACCCUGAUGGUGCGACGCCGCGUGGGGGAAUGAAGGUCUUCGGAUUGUAAACCCCUGUCAUGUGGGAGCCAAUUAAAAAGAUAGUACCACAAGAGGAAGAGACGGCUAACUCUGUUCCAGCAGCCGCGGUAAUACAGAGGUCUCAAGCGUUGUUCGGAAUCACUGGGCGUAAGGCGUGCGUAGGCGGUUUCGUAAGUCGUGUGUGAAAGGCGCGGGCUCAACCCGCGGACGGCACAUGAUACUGCGAGACUAGAGUAAUGGAGGGGGAACCGGAAUUCUCGGUGUAGCAGUGAAAUGCGUAGAUAUCGAGAGGAACACUCGUGGCGAAGGCGGGUUCCUGGACAUUAACUGACGCUGAGGCACGAAGGCCAGGGGAGCGAAAGGGAUUAGAUACCCCAGUAGUC
rnacentral:rRNA from 1 species